GGAGCCCCUGGUGUCACAGGGCACUGCUCAAAAGCUGCUGGAGCCAGGGAAGGGCGCAGGAAUCAGCCGGGCGGUGCUGGGGCCUCGGGGCAGGAGAAGGCCCUGGGAUGGCGGCGGCUCCUCGCUUCCCACUAUGAGGGGGGGGACCAGCGUUUGAGUCCAUCCUGUGUGCUGAUAGUGUCCGUGACCACUGUUUUUGCCGUCAUCUUCAACAAAAAGGCUGUGGUGACCCCAAGGGAGGGUCUGUUCAGAGCCGUGGGUGUUCAGGUGUCCUGCUUCAGGGGGUGCCCAAGCCUGCUGCUGCCAGUGGAGGAGCAUCAAAACGGGAGCACAGAAAUAUUGGUGAGACGGCAACAGCCUCCAACAAGGCGAUCCAAGCUCUCUUCCCACCUCUCCUGCUGGUUUCCAGUUGUUUGAGCAUAAUCCCGAACCCUUCAGGUCCCAUCAAGGUCCUCAGCAUGAAGUAUUUGGUCCCCAGCACAGGAACCAGGUGACGGCGUCUCUCCAGUUCAAGAAACACCAGGUUCUGAGUAAGGCUUGGGGUUUUUUAACCCUUUUUUGAUGGGAAGAAGUAUUGGGGAGGAGCAAAAAGCUUGCAGUGCUCACCCAGAUCAAGGAGCUUCCCACACGAAGCCAGGUAGGGCGCGAGGGUUAUCUCACCCUGCGCUUUCUACUGACUUUUAGGGUUUGUUUGGUGCAGCUGCCACUGGUUGUGGGAGGCUGAAAUGCUUCCCUGCAGCCUUUUUUCUUCCUCUUCUUCACCCGCCCUCCUUCAGCAGUGUCAGCACGCCGCCGGUAAUGUAAAUACACGGGUACAUUACCGCCGCUGUCACACGGGGAGGAGCGGCCGCGGAGGGUUUUGACAGCCCAAUCCUUCAUGGUCUGAGCUGGGGAAGGCGAGGAAAAUGAGGUGCCUGCCACUCAGCCCCAACGAGCUUCGUCGGGAAAGAGAAGCUGGCCGUGCCAGUACCCAUCAGGUCGGUUACGUUUGAGACAAAUCCUUUAUUUAGGCUUAAACACUCGAUUUAGGUCGGCACCUCAGAAACCAAUUCUGUAGCCCUGCUCCUGAUAGCACGGCUCUUACCCUUAACAAGAGUUUCGAUUCAUUUUUUUUUAAGGUACUUGCAGGCCAAAUGUCCUCAGUGCUUUUGUAGGACUUUUGGAAGAUCUGCUGCAUGCCAAGGGGCAAAUUUAUUCCCCGUGCCUGCUUUUCCUUCUGUUACCCCACCAAAGGCAACAGGAGGAAAAAGCAAACCCAGACUGAGACCUCUUCUCUGUAGACCCAUCGGAUGAGGCUGUGGUCAGCGCUGGGUGGCAGGUCAGCCUCUCAGACUCAAAUAAUUUUAACUGCAGUGACAAAACAGCUUGUGCAGAGGCGCCCAGCAUCAAAGAUCUCUCCCCAAAGCUUUUUCAGAGGGUUUUAGUGACGCUGCAGCGUUAGAUCAACAUCAAGCAGGUGAAUAUUAUUACUUGUCGUCGUUGUGGUUUAUUUGUUUCUUGACCAAGGGAAUAAACCGCAGGAGCAGGGCUGAAAGGAGCAGGGCUGAAGCUCCUCUGCCCGCUGUGGACUUUUUUUUCCCGGUUGCUUUGUUUUUAAUUUUUUCAAGGCUUUUCCCAAGUUACCACCGGCCCAGUUUUUGGAGGGGAAAAACGAGGAGGCUGCUUUGCUUA
rnacentral:lncRNA from 1 species